CUUCAGCCACACAAGCACUUCCGCUGCCGAAAUCUGUGCUCACAUACCUUUACACGCAUAGCGCACACAUCUCUGUACAAAUCCUACGGCAUCCGCUACUUCCGGCCAGCACACAGUCCGUGGCACGCAAUUUCGGCCACUUCGCAAACUCGGGUUUUUAGAUCGGUCGCAUUCGGUCGAAAUUCGCUAGUUUCCUAUUGGCCCAAUCCCUUAGAAUACGUCAUCAUCGGAGAGAAGAAGGCCUUCGGCAUCUUUCGGCUUUAGUGCUUGAAAAUCGAUCAAUGGCUUCCACUUGAUCGCCAAGUUUACAUUUUUCCGACCGUCAUAAUUCACAUUUUGAGAGGACGAAUCGUGAAGCACUAAGAUUUUGCCACUGCACUGAUUUUAUGACCGUACGCAGAAGUCGCUACAGAUCUGUUCGUGGGUAAACUUCAUCAAUUCCUCAGUCCACGAUUCAUCCUCCAUGGAUAGCAAAGGCGAUGAACCAGACUUUGGACGACAGGAAACGAAUCAUAUAUCUACUCCAUUAAUUAUAGGGAGGAAGAAGAGGAGUGGGAUUUUCCACUUUUGACAGAUCUAAAGAAAAAGGAACUUAUCAUACUGGACACUCUGUAAUUGUUAAAGUUCAACAGUUAGGGCCUUUUGUUGUGGAUGGAGCUUCAGUAAUGAAGUAAAGAAGUGGCGACUUAAAGAAAAAAACAAUGUUCAGUUCAUCAGGGGUACUGGGAAAGGAAAAUAAUAUUUAGUUAGAAUCAAAUUGAUUAUUGUUUGACUUCACUUUUAGUUAUGGAGUUUGCCCAUCAAUACUCCGCCACAAUAGGCAUUUUGCACAUACCAUUACAUUUUCCCCCUUUUCUGAAUCAAUUUGUAUGGUAUUAGGUGUUGAUUGUAUUAGUUGAUUAACAAAUUAGUUGAUGCUUUUUGGAAGACUUAAUGCAUUUUCAUUCCUCAUUAUCAUUUUACAAAAGAUGAGUUCCGUUUGAAUUGGCAGUGUGAGCCAUUUACCAUUGUUUGUCCAAAAUCAAAACAACCAUAACAGAGUUGUGUGUACAAGUGUAUUUAGAAGACUAAUUAAAUAUGCAAGAUGUGUUAUUAUGCUAAUAUUUCACAGCUAGUAAAGAUACCCUAUAUAAUAUUUUCAGUGAAUAACCCAAAACUGAUUCAAGUAAGAAAAACCUCUUCAGCAUACUUGUUACACGUCUUUUCCCAGAAAAGAUGUGAAAUUGGUUAUUUUCACAUACAUGUACCUGUAAAUAUGCAAAUUAAAUCAUUAAAAAAAUGAGUCGGGUUUUAACACCUCUAUCUGAGCAACUAUUUGUUACAACACUGUUGCAUGCAUGUGUAUUAUAGGUUUUUUGAGCAAAGUUAGGUUCGGAAAUGUUUUUCUCCUCAUUUUCACAUAAUUAGCUGAUAAAUUAUGCAAAUUUGGUAAUUAUGCACAAAUUAUAGAUCUAGUUGCUUUCCCUACAGCCAAAAUUUAAAUACUUGUUUGAAAUGUCAUUGCGAUAUUUGUUUUGACUUGACUUUUUUAUGUUGACACUAAAAUAUGCAUAAUUUUCCUCUAAUUAGUAAAUUAAUUAUGCAAAUUAGGACAGUAUUAUUAAAUUUUUUUGCACUUUUCAAAAGCAUAUUUUCAUAAUAAAGAGUAAACGAAAUAUCAAGCAAAUCUGAUACUAUAUUACAAGGAUAAAAGAAAGAACAGCAUUCCUCUUAUUGUCUUUUCGGUGCCAAAACAGAAAUAAAGAAAAACAAAGGAUGACCUUUGA